rnacentral:rRNA from 1 species
GUCCACGCCGUAAACUAUGGACGCUAGGUGUGGGGACAUUCCACGUUCUCUGCGCCGCAGCUAACGCAUUAAGCGUCCCGCCUGGGGAGUACGACCGCAAGGUUAAACUCAAAGGAAUUGACGGGGGCCCGCACAAGCAGCGGAGCAUGCGGCUUAAUUCGAUGCAACGCGAAGAACCUUACCUAGGCUUGACAUGCAUUGAAAACUGUUAGAGAUAACAGGUCCGCAAGGGCUUUGCACAGGUGGUGCAUGGCUGUCGU